rnacentral:tRNA from 1 species
GAGAUAUUAGAAAAACUAUUUCAUGGCUUUGUCAAAGCCAAAUUAUAGGACAUACCCUAUAUAUCUUA